rnacentral:rRNA from 1 species
CCUACGGGAGGCAGCAGUGGGGAAUAUUGGUCAAUGGAGGAAACUCUGACCCAGCAACGCCGCGUGAAUGAUGAAGGUCUACGGAUUGUAAAGUUCUUUUCUAAGGGAAGAAGAAAGUGACGGUACCUUCCGACUAAGCCUCGGGUAACUACGUGCCAGCCGCCGCGGUAAUACGUAGGGAGCGAGCUUUGUCCGGAUUUACUGGGUGUAAAGGGUUCGUAGGCUGCUUUGCAAGUCAGAAGUGAAAUCCAUGGGCUUAACCCAUGAACUGCUGUUGAAACUGGAGAGCUUGAGUGGGGUAGAGGUAGGCGGAAUUCGCGGUGUAGCGGUGAAAUGCGUAGAGAUCGGGAGGAACACCAGUGGCGAAGGCGGCCUGCUGGGCUCUAACUGACGCUGAGGCACGAAAGCGUGGGUAGCAAACAGGAUUAGAUACCCUAGUAGUC